UUUAUAAGUUGAGGAUGCGUAAAAGCAAAGCAUAACUCCGCCGCACUCCUCUAUCCCAUGAACCUAUAUUAAACCACUCUACCAUAAAUUGAUUUUCCUAAACUCUAUUGCCUCUAAAAUCUAUUUCAACUCACAAACCUAAGGGUCCUCACCAACAUAAGGGUGGUUUAUAAGCAGCCCUGGUGAUGAGCAAAGUAACUUUAUGAACAAUGAAGAAGGUUGAAGGCCAUCCAUGGCCCCCAUCCACAGGCUUUAGAAAAAGUGUUGCUGGUUAGUGUUGACACAUUCUCCUCACCAUCCUAAGGAUGGUUCAUAAGGUAAUGGCUCGUACAACUCAUGUUAUUUGUUACAUGCUGUGAAAUUUUUAUUUGUAUGGCUUGUGCCUAUUUAUGUAUGUAUAAUUAUGUGUUAUGCUUUUUUAUAUAAGUUUGAAUUAUAAUAUUUUUGUACGUUUUCUAUUAAGUUUGUAAAUUCAAUAUAUAUACAUCUAUGAUAGAAUUAUUUCUCUUUUAUUUGUUUAUUGAUUUAGUGAUUAGAAAUCUUUUGUUGUAUUA